GACGAACGCUGGCGGCGUGCUUAACACAUGCAAGUCGAACGGAAAGGCCCUGCUUUUGUGGGGUGCUCGAGUGGCGAACGGGUGAGUAACACGUGAGUAACCUGCCCUUGGCUUUGGGAUAACUUCAGGAAACUGGGGCUAAUACCGGAUAGGAGCUCCUGCUGCAUGGUGGGGGUUGGAAAGUUUCGGCGGUUGGGGAUGGACUCGCGGCUUAUCAGCUUGUUGGUGGGGUAGUGGCUUACCAAGGCUUUGACGGGUAGCCGGCCUGAGAGGGUGACCGGCCACAUUGGGACUGAGAUACGGCCCAGACUCCUACGGGGGGCAGCAGUGGGGAAUAUUGCACAAUGGGCGGAAGCCUGAUGCAGCAACGCCGCGUGCGGGAUGACGGCCUUCGGGUUGUAAACCGCUUUCGCCUGUGACGAAGCGUGAGUGACGGUAAUGGGUAAAGAAGCACCGGCUAACUACGUG
rnacentral:rRNA from 1 species